rnacentral:misc_RNA from 1 species
GUAAAUUUGAAACAAGUUUCACCUAGGGUUCCUGCUGGCAACUAUCCUGUAGCUCACAUCUCAUAUGAACUGAAUGUGUUGGGUUCCCGGGGUCCAAGGAGAAUGCAGUGCAUUAUGGAUGCUAUCCCUUCCACUUCUAUUGAACCUGGUGGAGUAGCCCCCACACAGACAGAGUUUUCUCAUCACAAUGUAGAUUUAUUUCCAUCACCUCCAUUAUUACGUUCAAAAUCAAAUCGUACAGAGAAUUUUCUUUCAGGACCUUUGCCCAGUCAGAAAGAUGGAGCACUAGUACUGAAAAACAAGGCUCCAAGGUGGCA